GGGUGAUUUGACUGCAACAUCUGUCACCUUAGAGAUCGCCCGGAUUGAUUCGGCUGAUCUGGCUGGCUAGGCGGGUGUCCCCUUCGAAGAGGACGACCUUCCCCAAUAGAGGAGAGGAUCAUUCUUUGGUUAAGGGUGCACAAGUUGCUGCGCUCCCCUGCUAGAAUCUCCAAACAAGCUUUUAAGAAUGCAAGAGUACAUGGGAAGACCAGGUGCUGUAGGUGUAAAAAAUAAAAAAUAAAGGACUGUAAGUUGACAAGGUCCUUGCAAU
rnacentral:snRNA from 1 species